rnacentral:lncRNA from 1 species
UGUCACGCCUCUCAUCGAGAAGGGGGUAGCUGCAUCCCAAUAUGGCAAGCGGAGUAUUGGCGAGUGGGUGUGUCUAAAGGAAAGGAGAUCGCUCAACUACAGGUUGGACGGUUUUGAUUGAACUGUGUGUUUUCUUCCGUUCCGUACCGCGAGUUUGGACUUCUGUUUUAAAGCGACAGGAUAAGUCAGUCAUACUUCAUUGUUAGUUUUACACAAAUAAUUAUACAUUUUCAGUUAUAAAACUGACGAUUGUUUAUUUUUUAUUACAGUACUGAUGAAGGGGUGUACUGUUGCUUCAUGCGUUGUAUGCGUGUGUUUACUGUCACCCUUAUUUUGACUAUUAUGUAGUAGUGCUUGGCAAGCAGGAGCGAAAGGCACUGUAGCACAGCCCAAUCAGCCUUGAGGGCAACAAAUCUGCCCAAUUAGUUGAUUCACUUCCAUACAGCCACUCCUUUUGAUACAACCACUCGCCCAUACUCCGGUCACCAUAUUGGGCUGCAGCUACCCAUACUUGGAGAGAGGAAGGGUUGUCAUGGUAACCUUCCUCAUUGGCCCCUUCACUUCUUCCGCCUCCUUCUUUUUAUCCCACCAUCCCCACCUCCCCACAUCUUCUAUUUCUCUUUCGCUCCACACAGGAAAACAAAACCGUAUUAGCCUCCCACACAAAGAGGCUGGACACCUCUGCAGAUGAACAUUGAAGUGAAGUGGACAUUGCUGGGACAGUGGCUGCAUUAUCAUUGACACUGCAACUCUGACAGCCAAGACAGCAAACCAACCCGUCAGCCAUGACAGCGGCCCCAUACCUUACCUCCAGCGACCCUCUGUCAGCUGCCAUGACUUCUAAUCGCGUCUUGACCCUGGUCAUGCCCGUGACCCCGACCCCUUACCCCUGGAUGGAGGAGGAGCACAUCCAGGUACACACCAUCCUGAUUGUCAUCAUCUUCUGCGUGGUCUGCUUCCUGCUCCUGGUGGCCUUCUUCUACGCUUUCUGCAUCCGCUGCACACUGAAGCUGUCCCCCAAAGACUCCCGGCCUGCCCACAGCUGUAGUCUGGAGCGUGAGGAUGCCACCUUCUGCCGCAGCUCCUCUGACUGCCAGUCGGUUGGGAACGUGGUCUGAAUGGAGAAGAGUACAUGAGAGAUCUAGAGAGGAAGGCUGAUAGGAGAGGAAGUCUGAGAGGAGAGGAAGGCUGAGAGGAGAGGAAGUCUGAGAGGAGAGGAAGUCUGAGAAGAGAGGAAGACUGAGAGGAGAGGAAGUCUGAGAGGAGAGGAAGUCUGAGAAGAGAGGAAGACUGAGAGGAGAGGAAGGCUGAUAGGAGAGGAAGGCUGAGAAGAGAGGAAGGCUGAGAGGAGAGGAAGUCUGAGAAGAGAGGAAGGCUGAUAGGAGAGGAAGGCUGAGAAGAGAGGAAGGCUGAGAGGAGAUGAAGGCUGAGAAGAGAGGAAGGCUGAGAAGAGAGGAAGGCUGAGAUGAGAAGAAGUCUUAGAGAGGAGAGGAAGGCUGAGAGAGGUUUGAUAGCUUCUAUAUUAAUACAUUUCUGAGAUUAUGCGGCCCACCGUGCAACAGUGUUCAGGAAGUAGGAAUGAUCUGUUGGGGUGUGUCAUGGAGGAGCAGUAGAAUGUUACACUACUGUGCAUAACAGGACUCCCUGACAUAAAUAAAUGAAUGGAUAUACCAUACAACUUUUAUUGCCCUUUUCUGUGAAUCUGUCUGUGAUGUGUUCUGUCUUAUAUAUGUCACUGUUUCAUGAAUAAUAUACUGUUCCUGUUUAUUGACUCGUCUGUUUUUCACACUGCUGUGUGUUAUGUGCGUUCCCAUUCCAUGCAUUAGACACUUUGUCCACUAACGCAC